CCCUAGUAACGGCGAGUGAAGCGGCAACAGCUCAAAUUUGAAAUCUGGCGUCUUUGGCGUCCGAGUUGUAAUUUGCAGAGGGCGCUUUGGCAUUGGCAGCGGUCCAAGUUCCUUGGAACAGGACGUCACAGAGGGUGAGAAUCCCGUACGUGGUCGCUAGCCUUUACCGUGUAAAGCCCCUUCGACGAGUCGAGUUGUUUGGGAAUGCAGCUCUAAAUGGGAGGUAAAUUUCUUCUAAAGCUAAAUACUGGCCAGAGACCGAUAGCGCACAAGUAGAGUGAUCGAAAGAUGAAAAGCACUUUGGAAAGAGAGUUAAAAAGCACGUGAAAUUGUUGAAAGGGAAGCGCUUGCAGCCAGACUUGCCUGUAGUUGCUCAUCCGGGUUUUUACCCGGUGCACUCUUCUACGGGCAGGCCAGCAUCAGUUUGGGCGGUUGGAUAAAGGUCUCUGUCAUGUACCUCCUUUCGGGGAGAUCUUAUAGGGGAGACGACAUGCAACCAGCCUGGACUGAGGUCCGCGCAUCUGCUAGGAUGCUGGCGUAAUGGCUGUAAGCGGCCCGUCUUGAAACACGGACCAAGGAGUCUAACAUCUAUGCGAGUGUUUGGGUGUCAAGCCCGAGCGCGUAAUGAAAGUGAACGGAGGUGGGAACCUUUCGGGGUGCACCAUCGACCGAUCCUGAUGUCUUCGGAUGGAUUUGAGUAAGAGCAUAGCUGUUGGGACCCGAAAGAUGGUGAACUAUGCUUGAAUAGGGUGAAGCCAGAGGAAACUCUGGUGGAGGCUCGCAGCGGUUCUGACGUGCAAAUCGAUCGUCAAAUUUGGGCAUA
rnacentral:rRNA from 2 species